rnacentral:rRNA from 1 species
UCCGUAGGUGAACCUGCGGAGGGAUCAUUACAGAGUUGAAAAACUCCCAACCAUUGUGAAUCUACCUCACCGUUGCUUCGGCGGGUGGCCCCACCAGGGCCGCGCCGGCUCCCUACGGAGCCGGCAACCCGUCAGAGGACCGAAACUCUUAGUCAUCAUUGGCCUCUCUGAGUAACUUAUACAAUAAGUCAAAACUUUCAACAACGGAUCUCUUGGUUCUGGCAUCGAUGAAGAACGCAGCGAAAUGCGAUACGUAAUGUGAAUUGCAGAUUUCAGUGAAUCAUCGAAUCUUUGAACGCACAUUGCGCCCGCUAGUAUUCUGGCGGGCAUGCCUGUUCGAGCGUCAUUUCAACCAUCAAGCCCCCGGCUUGUGUUGGGGCCCUGCGGCUGCCGCAGACCCCUAAAUGCAGUGGCGGGCUCGUCGUCGUACCGAGUGCAGUAAACAUCCUCGCUCAGGGAACGCGUCGGGUUCCGGCCGUGAAACACCCAACUUAUCAAGGUUGACCUCGGAUCAGGUAGGAAUACCCGCUGAACUUAAGCAUAUCAAUAAGGCGGGAGGGGAAGGUCGGACUGGCCAAGGGCACACAGGGGGGGAUA